ACGGGUGAGUAACACGUAGGUAAUCUACCAAAGUGUCUGGAAUAACCGGCCGAAAGGCUGGCUAAUACUGGAUAGAGCGACGGGACCCGUAAACGGGUCUUUCGGGAAAGGGAGCUCGCAAGAGCCUUCGCACUUUGAUGAGCCUGCGUCUCAUUAGCUAGUUGGUGAGGUAAUGGCUCACCAAGGCAUUGAUGAGUAGCUGGUCUGAGAGGAUGAUCAGCCACACUGGAACUGAAACACGGUCCAGACUCCUACGGGAGGCAGCAGUGGGGAAUCUUGCGCAAUGGACGUAAGUCUGACGCAGCCACGCCGCGUGAGUGAAGAAGGCCUUCGGGUUGUAAAGCUCUGUCGCCCGGGACGAACAUCCAGGGGGUUAAUAGCCCCUUGGACUGACGGUACCGGGAAAGGAAGCACCGGCUAACUCUGUGCCAGCAGCCGCGGUAAUACAGAGGGUGCAAGCGUUGCUCGGAAUCAUUGGGCGUAAAGGGUAGGUAGGUGGUCUCGUUUGUCUGGGGUGAAAGCCCAGGGCUUAACCCUGGAAGUGCCCCAGAAACGGCGAGACUAGAGUCUUGGAGAGGGUCGCGGA
rnacentral:rRNA from 1 species